rnacentral:tRNA from 1 species
GGGCUUGUAGUAUAACCUGGUUAGAACGAGAGCUUGCGAAGCUUUUGAUCUGGGUUCGAAUCCCAGCGGGCCCG